GGAAAGUGAACGGAGAAAAGGAAGCUGCUCUCUCUCUCUCUGCGUCGUCUCUCUUUCUCUCUCGCGCUCCCGCUCCCAAACCUUACCUCUUCAACCCGGUUUUCCUCCUUCCAGUUCGUAUGUCUCUUCAAUCUUCGCCAAUUUCUUCCUCCAUUGUUCUGAGAUCACCAAUCGCUACGAUCCCCGUCCGAAAUCCUAACCGUAGCUACUCGAAUUCGUCGUCUAAGAAACGUCGCUGGUUGGUUCAACCGGUGCAAUCCUUCAUUGACACUUCUCUCUCUGGUCUGCUUCGUCGAACUUCAUGUCGCGCCGGCUUUCUACAAAUGGCGAUGGCAAACCCUUUCCAUUUGUGAGGUGACGACUCUGAGGACUCCACAGCAAAUCGCAGCGGCGGCAGCGGCGUCUCCACUCAAGAAGGCUUUAGCUGCGGCGGCUCAGCAGCAGCAGCAAACUCAGUUGGCUUCUAAGCCUGUUCCUCCUGCAUAGGCUGAUGGAAAGGAAAAAGCAAGAGGAUAAAGUGAAGAGGGUGCAACAACAGGAGGAACAUUUUAAGCGUGUUAAGAUCUUCGGAUGAUCGUGAACCCUGAAAGGAGGCAGAUCAUCGACACCGACAUUGGUGGAGUAGCUGCAGCUGCUAGGAAGUGCGUUUCUGGGGAAAAAGAGGAGAGUUAUGAGAUCGGUUGCAGUGAGGUGGACCACAAAGGCAGCAGUGGCAGAGGGACGUGGGGGUGUGGCAUCAAGCUCUGGUAUCCUAGCUACUGUUGCGACGGCCAGAGACGGUAGUCCUGGAUACCACGCUUUUGAUAAUAAGCAGAAAACAGAGAGGGUCGCUGGUUCAGGGGCACUGGGGCAGCAGUUCAGAGAUUCAAAUCUAGGGGGCACCAUUGAUAUGUUUGUUGCUUUUGUGCAAUGAAGAGAAGAGUCGAAAUAGUAAAAAAUAUAUGCUUUUGAAGUUGCUUGUGAUAUGUUUUGCGGAUUCCAGUGGAUGAGAUUCCAGCUUGUGAAACUGAAGUUGCUUCAUGGCUAAUGAACAUAUUCCUAAAGAAGGACCAAUUGUUCUCUAAAUUCAUGAUGUUCGUUUGAUUUAUGGAUUUCAGAGGGAUGAAGAUAAGAUGCUGUACUUAAAGAUAUGGCAGGUGCGGGAUUUUACCAGCUUCUAUGGAUGUCCAAUGUGUGGUAAAGAGCUAGAGAAUGUAGGUCAUCUUUUCUUCGGUUGUGAUGUAGCAUUCAGUCUUUGGGGCGAUGUACUAUAUAAUAUGGGUCUGCAUUGAACAUGGCCAUGACGAGCUAAGGAAUGCUUCAAGUCAUGGAUUGCGGAACCAAUACCAGCAGGUAUAAGCAGCGGUGGGUGUCGAACUUCUUUGCAACCACAUGGUGUAUUUGGAAGCAUAGAAACUGCAAAAUGUUUCAAAGCAAAAAUCUAAAUACAGAUGACGUGAAAUAGGAGAUAAAGUAUUGGAGCCAAGCUUGGGUGUCGAAUAAAGAAAAGUGCAGGAGAGAAAAAUUUGAAAUUCAAUGAUAUAAUGGACUUGAGGAGUGGAUGAAAUAGGUACAUAUGCUUUGUCAUUUUGUGGUUUUGAUUAUUAUAGGAUGGCUUUAUCUUUGCUUGAUUUAGAAUAGUAGUUUCUUUAUGUUGUUGGUCUAUUUUGCAAGAUAGAAGUGGGGUUAUGUUCUGCUUUAAGCCUUUGUAACUGCUGCUGAUCUCAUGUCUCUGAUGGGUUUAGUGGGUUGUUAUUAUUUAAAAAAAAGAUGCAGGCAAGAGAAGCUAUUAGCUCUAAGGUUACUGGCAAUAGGAGCAGAAGGCACAAAAGUUGCACCAAGGAAUAGGGGGCUGCUGGCCUGCUGCUACUACUACUAGCUAAGGCUUUCAAAAAUUUUUUCUUUUACUCAAUUUAUAGGAUUGCAGGGAUUUUAUAUAGAGGCAAAAUUUGAGACAUAAGUUAUCAAUUUUGAGUUCUUUUUAUUAUCAUGUAGUUCUUUUAUAAUUCUUUAACAAAGAUUUUUUGUUUCAUCAAUGAGUUUUUGACAUCUAUAUUUUUGCUCAUCAUGUUAGGUAAUUCCAUUAUAUUAAGAUUUAUAAUUAUCUAAAUUAUGGUGAGGCUGUAUUGAUUUUUCUGCUUUGAAGAAAUGAAAGUAUUACAAUGGAAACAAGAAUUGAUUUUAUCAGACUUGGACGAUACUCAUGAAAGGCAAGGGGGGUAGUUAACCAGGACAGAAAUUAUACAAUACACAUAAAAUAAAAAAAACUGUUCCCUCUCUUUUUUUUAGGUGAAUUAUCUUUUUUUCUUUUAUUCAUUUUCUCUGUUAAAAUAUUUUUUUAAGCAUUGAUAAUAUCUAAACAUAAAGAGAACAUUUACACCCUAAUUUAUUAAUUUUCUAUUCAAUUUUAACGAAUCAGUCUCUCCUUUUGACAAAAUA